rnacentral:lncRNA from 9 species
UCUUGGGCCGCUCCCGCGGCAUAUGGAGGUUCCCAGGCUAGGGGUUGAAUUGGAGCUGUAGCCACCGGCCUACGCCAGAGCCACAGCAACGCGGGAUCCGAAGAGCCGCGUCUGCAACCUACACCACAGCUCACGGCAACGCCGGAUCGUUAACCCACUGAGCAAGGGCAGGGACCGAACCCGCAACCUCAUGGUUCCUAGUCGGAUUCGUUAACCACUGCGCCACGACGGGAACUCUGGAAAGGAUAUUUUUAAAAAACAACAACAAAAAAAAAAUAGGAAGAUGAUCUCAAGAGAAAGGCCAUCCCUGCAGGCCCAACAAGGGCUCACAUCUGCCCCUUCACCUCAGCACCUGCAGCCUCGAUCAGAGCUGGGCCGUCACCCAGAUGGGUCCUCCUCCCGGCAUUUUUUUCCUCUUGGGACCAUGGCUUUCCUGACCCCACUGGACCGGGGGUGGGGGUGGGGGGUCUCAUAAUGAUCCCUGACUCCACUGGGGUCCUCUGACACCGUGGACCCGGUCAAUCAGUGCGACACAUCGAGCCAUGCCAGGAGUCUCCAGGGGCAGCCUGCAGCUGCGACGCGAGUCUCUCAGACCACAAGAAUGGAGGACAUUUACGAGGACAGAGGAGAAGGUGCGAAGCAGAGAUGCCCUCCCCACACCGCCUGUCUGUCCCCUGCUGGGAGGCAAGGAACGAGCAAAUAUUUCCUUUGUCUUUCUCUGUCAAGAACAAAUUUCAAGCUUCCCUGUUUCUAGAUGGCUGUGCGUCUGAAACUAGAUGGUCUGAAUUAAUUUCUCACCAGCGCUGCUCAGCGCACGAGUGCUCAGUUGCUAAUUUUGACGGCCGUGCUGCCCUGGACUUGCUGCCGCGAAAAGAAUGGGACUCGACGCCUGGCACAGGCCCUGGGCUGGGUGCAGGGGCAGGAGAGACACAAGUCCUUGCUCUCUGGACACUCCUAGCCUGGAGGGCUCCAAGGCAAGAGGAUGUGGAGCUUGGUAACUGAAGAGCCAGACACUUCAGGAGUGGCGGGGCC